UACGGGGGGGGUAAGCGUUGUUCGGAAUUACUGGGCGUAAAGGGCUCGUAGGCGGCCAACUAAGUCAGACGUGAAAUCCCUCAGCUUAACUGGGGAACUGCGUCUGAUACUGGAUGGCUUGGAUUCGGGAGAGGAAUGCGGAAUUCCAGGUGUAGCGGUGAAAUGCGUAGAUAUCUGGAGGAACACCCGUGGCGAAGGCGGCCAUCUGGACCAGCACUGACGCUGAGGCACGAAAGCGUGGGGAGCAAACAGG
rnacentral:rRNA from 1 species